GAGGAUAUAGCUCAAGUGGUAGAGUGCUUGCUUAGCAUGCAUGAGAUCUGGGGUUCAAUCUCAGGUACCUUCU
rnacentral:tRNA from 1 species